UGCGGAUUGGUGUAAUGGUAGCACAACAGACUCUGACUCUGUUUGUAAAGGUUCGAGUCCUUUAUCCGUAG
rnacentral:tRNA from 1 species